UACGGGGGGGGCAAGCGUUUGUUCGGAAUUACUGGGCGUAAAGGGCUCGUAGGCGGCCAACUAAGUCAUACGUGAAAUCCCUCGGCUUAACCGGGGAACUGCGUCUGAUACUGGAUGGCUUGAGUUCGGGAGAGGGAUGCGGAAUUCCAGGUGUAGCGGUGAAAUGCGUAGAUAUCUGGAGGAACACCGGUGGCGAAGGCGGCAUCCUGGACCGAUACUGACGCUGAGGAGCGAAAGCCAGGGGAGCAAAGCGGG
rnacentral:rRNA from 1 species